rnacentral:rRNA from 1 species
AGUCACUGACAUUAGAUACCCCCGUAGUCCAGGGUGUAAACGCUGCAGACUUGGUGUUGGAAGUCCUUUGGGGGCAUUCAGUGCCGGAGAGAAGUUGUUAAGUCUGCUACUUGGGAGUACGUCCGCAAGGAUGAAACUUAAAGGAAUUGGCGGGGGAGCACCGCAACGGGAGGAGCGUGCGGUUUAAUUGGAUUCAACACCGUAAAACUCACCAGGGUAGACUGUUACAUGAAAGCCGAGAUGAAGACUCUGCUAGAUUUUCAG